UGAGUUACAUUGAUAUCCCCCGUCAGGGGCCUGUUUUGUUUCCUCUCAGGAGUAUGAUGGAGGUGGCAGGUAAGUGAGUAACUGGAGAACUGAAGGACCUAGGAAGAAGAUUUUCUUUGGCUGCCUAUUUAGCAACUUGAUCUGCCAAGUGAUUACCUCUGGGGACCUCACCAGCUCCUUUUUGAUGUCCCCAUUCUGUUUGGAGAGAUUUACUGUCGCAAGCACCAGCUAUCCGUCCUGAGCACAGCGGCGUGUGUGUGAUGAGAAAACGACUGAAGAGCUAUCUUCAAACAGAAGGUGUUUCAGCAAGACGGAGAAUUGACAAUUCCUAUAACAAACUGAGUAACCGAAGAGG
rnacentral:lncRNA from 1 species